GGCUGGUCCAAAGAUAGUGAGCUAUCUCAAUUGAUUAUUUAGUCAGUUACAGACUGAAUUCCUUGUUCUAUUCUUUUCCCCUUCUCACUACUGUACUUGACUAGUCUUAA
rnacentral:Y_RNA from 1 species